GUCAUUGGGGCACCAUUGGGUCACCAUUGGGUCACCAUUGGGUUGUUGGGUCACCAUUGGUUCACUAUUGGGUCAUUGGGUCACUUUGAGGCACUAUUGGUUCACCAUCGGUUCACUAUUGAGUCACUGGGGCACCAUUGGGGCACCAUUGGGUUAUUGGGUCACUUUGGGGCACUAUUGGGUCACUAUUGGGUCAUUGGAGCACUUUGGGGCACUAUUGGGUUAUUGGGUCACUUUGGGGCACCAUUGGUUCACCAUUGGGUCAUUGGGUCACUAUUGGGUGGUUGGGUCACCAUUGGAUCACCAUUGGGUCACUAUUGGGUCAUUGGGGCACCAUUGGGUCACUAUUGGGUCACCAUUGUGUCUCUUUGGGUCACUAUUGGGUCAUUGGGUCACCAUUGUGUCUCUUUGGGUCACUAUCGGGUCACUAUUGGAUCUUUGGGUCACUAUUGGGUCUCUUUGGGUCACUAUCGGGUCACUAUUGGGUCACUAUUAGGUCACUACUGGGUCUCCAUUGUGUUACUUUGGGUCACUAUUGGGUCACUAUUGGGUCACUGGGUCACCAUUUUGUCUCUUUG
rnacentral:lncRNA from 1 species